UUCACUGUGUUAGCCAGGAUGGUCUCGAUCUCCUGACCUCAUGAUCCGCCCGCCUCGGCCUCCCAAAGUGCUGGGAUUACAGGCGUGAACCACCAUGCCCGGCCCAGAAUGUCCUUUCUUUUCGAAGCCGAGUAAUAUUCCAUUAUCACCUUUCAGAGGAGAAGAAUUUUAAAGAAUCCUGUCUGUUCCACAGGGAUUUAAGAGAGCAGUUAACUACUGUAGAUAAAGAAACACUUCAAGGAGCAGCUAAACCAGAUGCUCACUUUAGGACUAUGCCCUGCGGGCAGCUUCUGCACUUCCUGCAGAAAAACACCAUCAUCGCCACCGUCUCAGGGGUGGCCAUCCUCAUGGCCAUCGUGCUGUUGCUGCUUGGGUUGGCCUCAUACAUCAGGAAGAAACAGCCAUCAUCUCCUCUGGCAAACACGACAUAUAAUAUUUUUAUGAUGGAUGGAAAGACAUGGUGGCACAAUUCUGAAGAAAAAAAUUUCACAAAACAUGCAAAGAAACAGAAACAGUUGAAGAGCAGCUCCUGUGUCUAAGCCAGGUCCUGGGGCCAUCAAACCAGGACUUGAAACCACAAUGCGAGGACAUUCUCCAUCUGCGCACCACAGGGAGGCAAUUCCAUUUCUGCCCGGGAGGUGUAUUCUACAAAAACGUCUGCUUCCCAUCCCAAUUUGAAUGGACCAAGAAAAACUGCUUUACCAUAGGACACUUGUGGCAAUAUGGCACCAAUGGCUGGCGUCGGCGAACCCGACAGACUAUGGAUUUAUCAUUUAAU
rnacentral:sRNA from 1 species